rnacentral:rRNA from 1 species
AGCGAACGCUGGCGGCAGGCUUAACACAUGCAAGUCGAGCGGGCGUAGCAAUACGUCAGCGGCAGACGGGUGAGUAACGCGUGGGAACAUACCUCUUGGUUCGGAACAACACAGGGAAACUUGUGCUAAUACCGGAUAAGCCCUUACGGGGAAAGAUUUAUCGCCGAGAGAUUGGCCCGCGUCUGAUUAGCUAGUUGGUGAGGUAAUGGCUCACCAAGGCGACGAUCAGAGCUGGUCUGAGAGGAUGAUCAGCCACAUUGGGACUGAGACACGGCCCAAACUCCUACGGGAGGCAGCAGUGGGGAAUAUUGGACAAUGGGCGCAAGCCUGAUCCAGCCAUGCCGCGUGAGUGAUGAAGGCCCUAGGGUUGUAAAGCUCUUUUGUGCGGGAAGAUAAUGACGGUACCGCAAGAAUAAGCCCCGGCUAACUUCGUGCCAGCCGCCGCCGUAAG